rnacentral:lncRNA from 1 species
UGACUUUAUCAAGGUCAAAAUUGAUCUUGAAGUUGCUGCAUGUCCUUAGCCUGCAAAUGUGGAUUUGACUCGGUCAAUUUUCAGAAGUUUCCAGAUUUGAUGCACGAAAAUCCCAGCUGGAAACACCACUUUCCCAGUUAUAUUAGGACUUUAUUUUAUUUUUCGUAAUUAGUCAGAUUUGAAUAUUUGUUAGGAGAUUUUUUUGGAAGGGAUAAAGGUGAAAGAAAGGGGGCUGAAAAGGGGGCUCUUUCUCUUUUCUCCUUGGAAGUUUGCAUCCAUGGCUCUGCAUGGCUAAAGCUUUUAUUGGUCUAAGGAAACAGAAGCCUCGGAAUCAAUAAAACUGUGAGAUCUGA